CCUACGGGUGGCAGCAGUAGGGAAUAUUGCUCAAUGGGGGAAACCCUGAAGCAGCAACGCCGCGUGGAGGAUGAAGGUUUUAGGAUUGUAAACUCCUUUUCUUAGAGAAGAUUAUGACGGUGUUUCACGAAUAAUCACCCGCUAACUCCGUCCCAGCAGCCGCGGUAAUACGGAGGGUGUAAGCGUUACUCGGAAUCACUGGGCGUAAUGAGUGUGUAGGCGGGGUUAUAAGUCAGAUGUGAAAACCUGGGGCUUAACCACAGGACUGCAUUUGAAACUGUUACUCUGGAGUGUGGGAGAGGUAGGUGGAAUUCUGGGUGUAGGGGUAAAAUCCGUAGAGAUAAAGAGGAAUACUCAUUGCGAAGGCGAACUGCUGGAACAUUACUGACGCUGAGGCACGAAAGCGUGGGGAGCAAACAGGAUUAGAUACCCUAGUAGUC
rnacentral:rRNA from 1 species